rnacentral:rRNA from 1 species
AUUGAACGCUGGCGGCAGGCUUAACACAUGCAAGUCGAGCGAGCGGCGGACGGGUGAGUAAUGUAUGGGGAUCUGCCCUAUAGAGGGGGAUAACUACUGGAAACGGUAGCUAAUACCGCGUACUAUAGGAUGAACCCAAAUGGGAUUAGCUAGUAGGUGGGGUAAAGGCUCACCAAGGCGACGAUCUCUAGCUGGUCUGAGAGGAUGACCAGCCAAACUGGGACUGAGACACGGCCCAGACUCCUACGGGAGGCAGCAGUGGGGAAGAUUGCACAAUGGGCGCAAUCCUGAUGCAGCCAUGCCGCGUGUAUGAAGAAGGCCGUAGGGUUGUAAAGUACUUUCAGCGGCGAGGCGUUAACCGCAGAAGAAGCACCGGCUAACUCCGUGCCAGCAGCCGCGGUAAUAC